GUGGGGGGGUGUGUGUGUGUGUGUGUGUGUGUGUGUGUGUGUGUGUGUGUGUGUGUGUUUAAAAUGUCCAGGAUCGAGAAAGGGCUGGGCCUAGUGGAGACAGGCUUGCAAACCUCCCCCAAAGACUCCAGGCCUACAGCUGCCAUGCUCCAGUGCGGACAGACAAUCGGAAGGGGCCUUCUGUGCUUUGUGUGGGCUGCAUCAAUUCCUCUCUCCAGAAGGUCUUCUCUCUUCUAAGGGCAUCAAGACAUUUUAGAGCCACUCAGCUCAGCUCCCAGCUUC
rnacentral:antisense_RNA from 1 species